rnacentral:lncRNA from 1 species
CAUUUAUUAUUUUAUUUUUUUUAAGACAGAGUUUUGCUCUUGUCACCCCGGCUGGAUUGCAGUGAGCUGAGAUCGUGCCACUGCACGAUCCGCCUGAGCGACAGAAUGAGAUUCCAUCUCAAAAAAAAAAGUACAUAAUACCUACUUUAGAGAUUGUCAUGGAAAUAUAAAGUAUGUGGUCCUUACUAAUGCUAGAUAAUGCUUUGCUUUCUUUUAUUUGCAUCUUACCCUCUUCCGUGAGUAUUGAUACUGUCUUAAACAUAGUAGGGGUUGAUUAGAUAUUUGCUGGUUGCCCCUUCACUUGCAAGGGAUACAUACAAAUGUUGGUUUGUAUUGGAUAAUGAAUAUGAUGUUUUUAAGAGUAAUAUGUGAUUUUGUUACUUUUUGAAGGCCUUAACAACAUUAACACUAGUAAAAGAAGUAGUAACAUUUA